AAGCACUUGGAAAACAACGAUAUUUUACCAGAAGAACAAAAAGGGUGCCGGAGAGGGAUGUAUGGCUAUAAGGAGCAACUUCUGGUAAACCGAGCCAUUAUAGAAGACUGUAAAAGGAGAAAGACAAACCUGAACGUGACUUGGAUUGAUUACCACAAGGCAUUCAACAGUGUUCCACACUCAUGGAUACUGGAAUCUCUCCACAGUAAUAAGAUAUAUUACAAAUGCAG